UACAGAGGCCUCGAGCGUUAGGCGGAAUCACUGGGCUUAAAGCGUGUGUAGGCGGACUUCUAAGUGCCUUGUGAAAUCCCACGGCUCACCCGUGGAACUGCUGGGCAUACUGGGAGUCUUGAGCCACCUAGGGGCGAGCGGAACAAAUGGUGGAGCGGUGAAAUGCGUAGAUAUCAUUUGGAGCGCCAACGGAGAAAUCAGCUCGCUGGGGGUGUGCUGACGCUGAGACACGAAAGCCAGGGGAGCGAACGGG
rnacentral:rRNA from 1 species